rnacentral:rRNA from 1 species
CUAAUACAUGAACCAAAGGGACGUUCUCUGUUACGGCGGUGGGGCAACUCACUGUCAUGGGGCGUCCAGCGAAUGAAUGAAAUUAAAACCAAUGCCUUCACCGGCAGUAACACCCAGAAGUGUUGACUCAAUUCAUUCCGUGCGAAAGCUGGAUUUCUUAUCCGGCGUCUUUUGACGAACAACUGCCCUAUCAGCCAGUGAUGGCCGUGUAGUGGACUGCCAUGGCGUUGACGGGAGCGGGGGAUUAGGGUUCGAUUCCGGAGAGGGAGCCUGAGAAAUAGCUACCACUUCUACGGAGGGCAGCAGGCGCGCAAAUUGCCCAAUGUCAAAAAAAAACGAUGAGGCAGCGAAAAGAAAUAGAGCCGACAGUGCCUAGUGCAUUGUCGUUUUCAAUGGGGGAUAUUUAAACCCAUCCAAAAUCGAGUAACAAUUGGAGGACAAGUCUGGUGCCAGCACCCGCGGUAAUUCCAGCUCCAAAAGCGUAUAUUAAUGCUGUUGCUGUUAAAGGGUUCGUAGUUGAAUUGAGGGCCUUUGAGGCGCAAUGGUUUGUCCCGUCCACCUCGGAUUG